UCCGCUCCGCCCGCGCCCCACGCUCGACGUGCAGAGCAACCAAAAUGGUCAAACCCUAGCCGCCAAACCUUCUCGUCCCGAGCCCCACGUCCCCUUCGCCUCGUCUCCUCCCUGAUCCAUCCUCUCCCACGCCGCCGCCCCUCUCCCCGCUCGCCUCAGCCGCCUCCUCUCCUCCCCGUGCCGCCGGCCCCUUCCUUUCUCCCCGUGCCGCCGGCCACCUCCCUUCUCCCCGUGCUGUAGCAGAGAUGCCUCAGUAGGGGCAGAACACCGGGGCUUUAUCUCCCCUUGUCUAGCACCGGCCGGUGAACAAGACGGAGGGUAGCCAAGGGCGCCUCAAACGGCGGCUGCUCUUCUCCGGCUUGGACCAGAACCCCGGCGUCUGGGUAAGUGCAGAGGAGCAAGCAGAGCAGAUGGUGCAGCCGGCCUCCUCCUCUCUCUCCCUCCCCUUGCUCUCACUCGCAUUCGGCACCCUCCUCGCCGUUGGCUACAUACCCAGAUAUUUGAUGAAAAAACUUUGAUAAAGAAAUAUCAGGGUCGUCUUCAUCGACAUGAGCAUCUCUAUCGGACCAUGCGUCCAUGCCUCCCCAUCUACCGUGCUGGAGUAGCCGCCUCCUGGUUGAGGUAUCGCACUGCCACCGCUGCCGCUGCCUGGGUCCCUCCUCUCGCUCCUGCCGAGGUCGCAUGUUCGUCGAGGCAUCAAGACACGUCGGUUUUCUUUUCUUUUUCCCUAUUUCUGUUCUUCCACUUGUUUCUUCUUCCUGGACCUCCCUGUCAACUGAAAUUGCAGGCUGAGGUGAGCACCAUGAGGAAGAGGAGGUCAGUGGCUGAUAUAGAGAGCUCCUCGAACGGGGAAGUAGCAGUUCUGGAGGAACUCGAAGAUGCCAUUUUUCAGUUUUGAUGGGAAUCACUACAAAUAGUUAUGGUCAUGAAUGUAAGAAUUUUCUGAAUUUUACCUCUCAUUUACAGUUUUGAUGGGAAUCGCUACAACAACAAUUAGAAGAAACUGCAUUGCAGGUUCAGAACCAAUUUCUAGGGGUAUCUACAAGCUGUUUUUAUUCCAUCUUGGUUUUAAAUUGGUUAAUUAGCAUAGUAUAUUGAUUGUUGAGCUUUAUUUCAUCUACAUUUUGUUUUGAACAUGUGUGCUUUAAGAAACUUAGUAUUCUUCCCUAUUUUGAAGAGCCCACAAAGAGACUAAAAAAUGGUGAUAGUCAUGUCCAGAAUGUCGAAAGCUUCAUUUUGGUCCAUUAGAUAGUUUAUAGCUUUGUCACUGGAGGUUAGGUUGUCGCACAGGGGUUGCUGCUUGUGAAAAUUAUAUACAGCCACGAGUCCCUGACAAAAUAAUCGCAGCUUGUGAAAAUUAUAUACAGCCAUGAAUGCUCCAUAGUUCUACAUGCAACACAGCUAAUUACCGAAUCUGCAAUGCAUGCUUAUUUCUGGUAGAGGCUUAGUGGAUGAUUUAGCAUUGUGUAAAGUCUGUCUAAGCUCCCGUCUCUUUUCUUUCUAUAAACUGGAGGCCGGGAUAGAUUUCUUAAUACCAAUUUUGGAUUGUUUGAGCACUGAACAAUGUUAACAGGUUUACCAUUUCUCAUUUCUUAAUACCAUUUUUGGGAUUGUUUGAGCACUAUACCAAUGUUUUGCUUUCUGCUAAAGUCAAAGAUAUUGUAUCCAAUGUUUUUCAAUUGCCAACACAUGCCAAAUUUUGCAUAUUCGUUCCAUGGAGAGUGUGGAAGUAAUGUAAUAAUGUGGCACUGAGAUUGGCGAGUGACGCCUACUUCCAGUGUACAGAUUUAUCAAAAUGCACAUGAGUUGUCCUAUCAAAUGUUCAGAAAACUGUUAUGUGUUAAAACUGCUGCCAGAUUAGUUCACAUGUGUCUUUCUCUUUACAUAAUUUCUUGCUUCUUACUGAACUUUACGCUGCAUUUCUCUGAACUUUCUUGCUUGCUUGAUUGCGUCGCCUCAACUUUGGCUAGUGUUCUUCCCUCUCCCAUAUGGUCGCCAUCUAGGUUCUCUUCCAGCACUUGCUCAGAUCAUCCGACAAGGCUCUCUGCCAGAUGCCUAAUUCUUAUUUUCUGAUGUUUUGUGUGCAGGAUUAUGGCAAGGAGCAGUGGUCGUUCGGGUUCUGGGGGAACGACAUGCACAGGUUAACUCCGAAAUUCAGAAUUUAAGUCUUCGUAUUGACAUCCGAGACGAAGAGAAGUGCUGCAGAGACGCGUUUUAUUUCAAAGUUACGAUACUUAUAAAGUAAACCAUGCUUUGUCAACCUAAUAUGUGUAUGUAUAGGCAAUAAAGGUGAAGAACAGAGUCUUUACUUCUUCUCUUCCAACGGAUCUCCUAGCUAAAUGAAGAUAUGGAUAGGUGCUACUGAAGUAGCCAACAUAUACUUAGUAUGGAGGAGAGCGCGUGGGUGUACAUAAUAGGGAAGCAAGUGAGAUCCCAAGAAAAUACGCAUACAAGUAUAUCGCAAGGUGAAUGCUAUAUUAUUCUUAAAUGAAAAUUACACUAGGUUGACUUUUAAUAUACAUGGAGCAUCCUUUUUUCAACAGUCUAAUUACUCCAUGUAAUUACUGCAUCCAUUUUGGUAUGUGAUACUACAAGUGUAAAUUCAGGAGAAAAAAACUAUGUUGUUUAGUGUGAGCUGCAAAUUUAGUUUUUGUUGGUGGAUUUCCUCAACCAUAUUUUCACUGCAUAGAGUGGACUUGGUAGGAGUCUGUUAUUCAGCUCUGUUCUAUGUUUGGAGAGCACUCUCUUUUUCCCUUUUGUGGGAAAAUAUUUUAUAGUGCACUAACCCAUGAUUAGUAGCUGUGGUAUAUGAUGAUUAUCCAAUGACAAAACUGUUACAGAAACCUUCAUUUUGAUAAGGAAUCAUGACCUAAGGUCUUUCUAUACAUUUGCCUGGCUAAUUUGAUAUAUAUAUAUAUAUAUAGGACAAAUUUUAUCUACCACCAGUGGUAGUUACCACCACUUGAGUUUUGUAUGUUGUAUGUAGUAUCUAUCAAAUCGGAGAGUAUGUACGCGUAGUAUGUAGUAUAUAAGAAUGUUUAGGUAGUAUAUAUACUACUUUUUUGAUAGUAUGUAUCGUAUUUUGAGUAUGCUCCUUUUUACAUACAAAUAUGUACGUAUUUCAUAAAUAAAAUAAAAAUCAUGGGUCAACUUGCAAUUUUUUCAUGUAACUCACUUUGGAGUAUCUUAUAUUUAUUAUGUAAACAUACUUAAAAUGUUAAAGCAGAAUAUAUACUACCACAUGUUAGUAUAUGAGACAUGUGGGGUAACUACCCCCAGGUGGUAGGAUGGAUUUUCCCUAUAUAUAUAUAUAUUAUUUUUACAUUUCAUCUUCUAUUUCAAGUAAAUUCUUGCCCAGCAUGCUAUUUACCACUUAUACGUACUUUAGCCUGCACAAUUGACGGACCUGCUACAGUUAAGUAGGAAAUUUCAGGCAUGGACCAAGGAAACAAGAUGCUGAUGGAGCGUCCUAUAUUGCUGCUACCUGAUUUUCUGUGAACUUUCAAAUUAGUUUUGCGCUGUCCUUCAACCACUGCUUUUUAUAAUCCAGAAGAAUUGGUAUCUGCAUAGGCAAUUGGUAGUGCAGUGCGCUUGCUUAGGCCAUCAAACAUAUGGGUAGAGAUAAGAGUUUAGGCACCCGGAUAAGUGGAUAUAGAGAUUGCAGGCCAAUAUAUCAUUAGCUGUACGAUAUGAAACAACUUAAGUGGCAAUAUCAAAUGUUCUUCUCUUUUCGUAGACAAAAGGGAUAAUGUGUUUUACUAUAUAUAUAUAUAUAUAUAAAUUGACAUGCCAUAGAUAUUUAUGGUACGAUGCCUUUCCCACACAUUCAAUGGACAGUCCACUUCCAUAUUUAUUUCUUCUUACACCCAGAAUAUGUCUCUCUUUUAAGUAUUGACUGAAACAUUAGCAAUAAAAUUAUUAGAAGAGUUUAUUCUUGCCUACAUCGAAGCACUAUAAUAUCUACCAUUCAGUUACAGUUUGAAGUUCAUAUAUCGUAAUAGUAUUAUAGGUUGUUUUUAUAUUUUUAUCAAUUGAUGCUUUCUUAUUAGAUUUUUUUCAAACUGGCUUCCUUCUCAACAUCCUAUACUAAUAUAGGUUAUUGGAUAAAGUUCUGUACUGAUAGUCCAAAACUUUGUGGUCGCCCAGGCUAUUCAGCCUUUAAUCAUAUUUAACAUCAUCAGGUAAGUAACGAUGUCAUGAUCAGAAGUCAUUGGCUAUGUGCUAUAUAUAUGCGCAUAAUUUGAUAAACUACAUUGCGCAUUCGAUUGUUUUCAGGAACAAUAAAUUUGCUUAAUUUUUUUAACUCAAUGUGAAAAUGAACAUUGAUGUUUUUUGUCCCUCGAAGGAGACGAGGUUUAAUAUUUGCUUACAUGACCAGGAACAUUAGGAGAUGUUCAAAUGAGUAGUUAAAGAAGAAGAGUUAUUUGCAAAGAUGGUAUCUUUCUUUUCUGUACAAAGAUGAUGGCUAUACCCACAAUAUUGCUCUUAUUACCUUCUUUUGAUGUAGACCUUGGCUCAUUUUCGUAGCAACAAAAAUUCUGAAUUUAUUGUGCGCACAUGCUUAUUUGGCCAAUCAGGAUAAUAAUAAUUUUGCGGUUUUUGUACAAGUUUUAUCAGUUUAUUGUUUUCAAAAUUAGAAUCUUGCUGAUUAACCUAUCUGCAUUUUGUAGUUCAGUAGCUACCUACACGAGGUUGGUCCAUUAACUCUUUUGUAGAACCAGAUUGUUGAUAUUUCCUCAGAAGUAAAAUGUUACCUUUUCCUUUACUCGCUUACUUGAAUCCAGACUAUUAGGUACCCACCUUCCAAGAUAUAUAAACAACCAAAAAUAUCACGUCAGGCUAUGCUUUGGUUAUUGAUCAAACAACCAACACUCUGGUGUAUAGGAUCUCUGGAUAAACAAGCUCGAGGAGGCCGUUGUUUGGUGCAGCCCAUGACAGCAACUACACGAUUGACCACUGAAGCAAGGUCCUUAUAUGGUCACUGAAGAAAUCAUCUUUCCUCCGACCGAAGGGCACUUUUCUUGAAUCUUAGUCAGUGUCUGUUGUAAUUUACUAUCAUCCCUAAGAGAAACUUAAUUCUGUGUUGCCGUUCUUUAUCUCUAUUGUUUAAUCCAAAUUACUACUGUGACAUGAUAACAUAUAUGAUGCAAUGGAAAAUAUUCCUAAGAACUGCACGGACACAGUGCUUUAUCA